CAGUUAUACAAAUGAUUCUGAUAUAAAUUUGUGAUUCUGAUAUAGAUCAUGAUUCUGAUAUAGUUUUAGUUAUGAGCCUUUUGAAAACGUGUUUUCACACCAUAUAUAUAUAGUGCCCAGGAUUUUUGCGAGUUUUUGCAUGGCGUCCUAUUUUUCAAAUUUUGGAACAGUAAUAACUCGAACACUGCUUCAUGGAAAAUCAAGUUAAACGUUCAAAUGUCUUAUAUCUAGUACUUCAUAUAGCUUUCUAAUGAUGCACGUUAUUUUUUCGGUGGAAGAAAAGGUGUGAAAACACGUUUUCAAAAGCUCACAACCAAAACUAUAUAUAUCAGAUUCAUGCAUUUCCAACCGACAAUUUUAGGAAUUAUAAACAUUGUGCAACGCAUGUACUUAUACCAGAAACAGGUCUUUUACGCCUGAAGGCUGCUAUAUUCAUUAUAUAAAUGAAUUUUUUAUUUCAGAAAAGAUUUGCUCCUCGUGCCAACGAUUUGUGUCCUUACAACAAAGCCUGCACAACAGACAGCGAAUGCAACUGCGAAAUCGCUUUUUUGAAGUGCAAAAUGAUAGUGGAAGGAGACCAUAGAUGCACAAUGGUGAAUACUUUUGAAACGGGGGGAGUUGAACCUUUUAGGUCCUACGUCUUCUAUUCUACUGAGCAGACAAUUCCAGCGAAGAAACCUUUUAAGAAAUUGCAUAAGAGUUACUGACAGAAUAAUACGCUGCCUUAAUUAAUAAAGAAUAUACUUUAAGAAAUUUAUGUCGGUGUACUACAUUUUUGCAUAGUUUAAAUAAAAGCAUUAUAAAAUAAACUUUUUAAUGUGAGACAGUUAUCUUCUUUUAGAAAAUUUCAAUUCUCUACAUCUUGCUUGAGCUUUAGCCAUCAUCACGAAUUACAAAAGGUUUGUAGUAGCUUGUAAAAAUUUUAGCAGCUUGAUCUUAAUUCGUAUAUUCGCAUAUAUUGAAAAUUGAAAUAUGUAACAUCAGUUAGGACUUGCCAUGCAUGCAACUUCUUUUAUACGGCUUUUUCAUGAAUUAAGGUUGUCAUAGUCAAUUAGCCUUUUUCACGAAGGCCAAAAUCCGCCAUUUUUGGGGUACUGUAUGUCACUCUGUCCUCUUGAAAAAUUCUACACAAUACUAAAAGUUGUAUUUUGUGGUGCGGAGACUCUCAAGCGUGGGAGAGGCAGUACCCCCAAAUAUGGCGGGAAAAUCUUCCAUGAGAAAGGUUAAUUGUAUACAGCUAUUUCAAUUAAGGUUGUCCCAGCAAAAAAAGUCGAAUACGAGCGCGAAAGGCUGAUGGGAAUCGCUAAUAAAUGAAUGAAUUUAUUAGCGAUUCCCAGCAGCCUUUCGCGCUCGUAUUCGACUUUUCCGCUUUGCUCGCGGGACAACCUUAAUUGAAAUAGCUGUAUACCAGCCUAGACCUAGGCCUUCUAGUCUUAUUUAUAUAUUUUUAAUAUUCAGCGC